rnacentral:rRNA from 1 species
GGAGGGUGCAAGCGUUAUCCGGAUUCACUGGGUUUAAAGGGUGCGUAGGUGGGUUGGUAAGUCAGUGGUGAAAUCCCCGAGCUUAACUUGGGAACUGCCAUUGAUACUAUCAAUCUUGAAUACCGUGGAGGUCAGCGGAAUAUGUCAUGUAGCGGUGAAAUGCUUAGAUAUGACAUAGAACAUCAAUUGCGAAGGCAGCUGGCUACGCGAAUAUUGACACUGAGGCACGAAAGCGUGGGGAUCAAACAGGAUUAGAUACCCUGGUAGUCCACGCCCUAAACUAUGGAUACUCGACAUCAGCGAUACACUGUUGGUGUCUGAGCGAAAGCAUUAAGUAUCCCACCUGGGAAGUACGAUCGCAAGAUUGAA